rnacentral:lncRNA from 1 species
GCUGCUGAUAUGGCUUCACGAGGAGUAGCUGUGCUGUGGCUUGGAAGGUCACUGUUACUUGGCACAGCUGCAUCGUCCAGAUCUGGCAUGUCGGGCUGGUC